rnacentral:rRNA from 1 species
UACGAAGGGGGCUAGCGUUGUUCGGAAUUACUGGGCGUAAAGGGCGCGUAGGCGGUGUGUCAAGUCAGGCGUGAAAGCCCCGGGCUCAACCUGGGAACCGCGCUUGAGACUGGCACGCUCGAGUUCGGGAGAGGAUGGUGGAAUUCCCAGUGUAGAGGUGAAAUGCGUAGAUAUCGCUUGGAACGCCGAAGGUGAAAACAGGUCGCUGGGGAUGUGCCGACGCUGAGACACGAAAGCCAGGGGAGCAAACGGG